GAUGAACGCUGGCGGCGUGCCUAAUACAUGCAAGUCGAGCGAACAGACGAGAGUGCUUGCACUCUCUGACGUUAGCGGCGGACGGGUGAGUAACACGUGGGUAACCUACCUAUAAGACUGGGAUAACUUCGGGAAACCGGAGCUAAUACCGGAUAAUAUUUAGCUUCGCAUGAAGCAAUAGUGAAAGACGGUUCUGCUGUCACUUAUAGAUGGACCCGCGGUGUAUUAGCUAGUUGGUGAGGUAACGGCUCACCAAGGCUACGAUACAUAGCCGACCUGAGAGGGUGAUCGGCCACACUGGGACUGAGACACGGCCCAGACUCCUACGGGAGGCAGCAGUAGGGAAUCUUCCGCAAUGGACGAAAGUCUGACGGAGCAAUGCCGCGUGAGUGAAGAAGGUUUUCGGAUCGUAAAACUCUGUUGUAAGGGAAGAACAAGUACGUUAGUAACUGAACGUACCUUGACGGUACCUUACCAGAAAGCCACGGCUAACUACGUG
rnacentral:rRNA from 1 species